GAUGAACGCUGGCGGCGUGCCUAAUACAUGCAAGUCGAGCGAACAGACGAGGAGCUUGCUCCUCUGACGUUAGCGGCGGACGGGUGAGUAACACGUGGAUAACCUACCUAUAAGACUGGGAUAACUUCGGGAAACCGGAGCUAAUACCGGAUAAUAUAUUGAACCGCAUGGUUCAAUAGUGAAAGACGGUUUUGCUGUCACUUAUAGAUGGAUCCACGCCGCAUUAGCUAGUUGGUAAGGUAACGGCUUACCAAGGCGACGAUGCGUAGCCGACCUGAGAGGGUGAUCAGCCACACUGGAACUGAGACACGGUCCAGACUCCUACGGGAGGCAGCAGUAGGGAAUCUUCCGCAAUGGGCGAAAGCCUGACGGAGCAACGCCGCGUGAGUGAUGAAGGUCUUCGGAUCGUAAAACUCUGUUAUUAGGGAAGAACAAAUGUGUAAGUAACUAUGCACGUCUUGACGGUACCUAAUCAGAAAGCCACGGCUAACUACGUG
rnacentral:rRNA from 1 species